UGCAGUCGAACGGUAAGGCCCUUCGGGGUACACGAGUGGCGAACGGGUGAGUAACACGUGGGUGAUCUGCCCUGCACUUUGGGAUAAGCCUGGGAAACUGGGUCUAAUACCGAAUAUGACUACGCGAUGCAUGUCGUGUGGUGGAAAGCUUUUGCGGUGUGGGAUGGGCCCGCGGCCUAUCAGCUUGUUGGUGGGGUUAAGGCCUACCAAGGCGACGACGGGUAGCCGGCCUGAGAGGGUGACCGGCCACACUGGGACUGAGAUACGGCCCAGACUCCUACGGGAGGCAGCAGUGGGGAAUAUUGCACAAUGGGCGCAAGCCUGAUGCAGCGACGCCGCGUGAGGGACGACGGCCUUCGGGUUGUAAACCUCUUUCAGCACAGACGAAGCGCAAGUGACGGUAUGUGCAGAAGAAGGACCGGCCAACUACGUGCCAGCAGCCGCGGUAAUACGUAGGGUCCGAGCGUUGUCCGGAAUUACUGGGCGUAAAGAGCUCGUAGGUGGUUUGUCGCGUUGUUCGUGAAAACUCACAGCUCAACUGUGGGCGUGCGGGCGAUACGGGCAGACUGGAGUACUGCAGGGGAGACUGGAAUUCCUGGUGUAGCGGUGGAAUGCGCAGAUAUCAGGAGGAACACCGGUGGCGAAGGCGGGUCUCUGGGCAGUAACUGACGCUGAGGAGCGAAAGCGUGGGGAGCGAACAGGAUUAGAUACCCUGGUAGUCCACGCCGUAAACGGUGGGUACUAGGUGUGGGUUUCCUUCCUUGGGAUCCGUGCCGUAGCUAACGCAUUAAGUACCCCGCCUGGGGAGUACGGCCGCAAGGCUAA
rnacentral:rRNA from 1 species